AUGCACAAAACCGUUGUGAAAUCUGAAAAAACGAUUUCCAUAGGAUUCGAGUACGGUUUUCAGACCGUGCCAAAUCGAGGCGUUGCCUUAGCAUAUCACAACGGUUUUGUAUUGAACGACGACACCUUUAAAGUAACCGUUGUAUUAUGUUUCUUGAGAGAACAAUCUUUAGAAUUCCCAACAACAACGGUGUAUGUUCGUUCUUAUUUUAAGACCAUUGCAAUUGGUUAUCUUGGAGAAUGGUUUUUAGGGGAUAUUCAAACAGUUCGUCACCGUCGGUAA